CUACUCUUUUCCGAAAGUUUAUUACUAUUCAUAGCUAUUAUUUUGACAUAAAAAAUAAAAUUAAUUUAACAUUUUAUUUCUAUCUUAGUUAAUUCUGAUUUGAUAUUAGAUAUUAUUCUGAAUGAGCCCAUAAGAAGUGAUCGUAGGCGGCCCCAAAGGGCAACAUAGGUUAUUUCUUCAUUUCAAUAAUUUUUUCACCUCAUUCGUCAGUAUAUAGAGAGAGAAUUUUUUGUUGAAUUUUUUUCCUCAGGUAUCUUAACUAUGUUAUUUUCCUAUUGAAUAAUUGAACCACUUAUAAUGUGUUUCUUUUAAACACUGUUGACUGAUGUGGAACCAGAUUUUGUGAGGAGUACUGAUAGAGGAUACAUAUAUUGUUCGAAAACUCAUUUGUCCAAUUAUUAGUAAAAUUAUUCGAGAAUAAUUGUGGUUUACUUCAUGUUAUUUGAACACAUUAGAAAACAUAUGAGACUAACACACAGUUUGUCUCCAUUCCUUCAAUCAAAAUCAUUACAAUACGAACACAAUUGAAGGCAUUUACAAUAAAAAUGCCGAUCAAAAUUAGUCAACAGUUUUUAAAGGAACAACUUAUAGAUGGUUCAAUGAUCCAAUAGGAAUAUGACGUAUUUUAGGUACCUAAAGGGAAAGACCCAACAAGUUUAAAAUUUGCUUAUGAAUUCGACCUUUAAAAUACUAUGGUGCCACACUUGGCAAAGAACUGUUGUAAUAGCAACAAACUAUCAUCAACAAAAUAAAAGUUAAGAUGAUCAACCGACUUAGCUACUAAAAAUACCUCUAAAAACUAAAACAGCAUAAAAGAAUAUCAAUUUCUAAUAGACAAAACUAACAAAAAUUAAAACAAUUAUAAAAAAUGACUUAAUUAGUUUUCUUUAAAUCCAACAUUUGAUAAACCAAUUUAAUUGGUUUAAAAAAUAGACACAUGAACACCCCUAGGUUGAUAGUGCUAGAAAAGAGUAAAAGGAACUAAAUAAGAGACUGAUUAACUUCAAUAUGAUCAAUAAAGUAAAGAGAAAAAGGUCAAAUGACCCCUCAAGCUUUGGUCAUAUUUCUAACUACACACGUAACUUUGUGGGGGUCUUAUUACCUCCCUGAACAUUUUUUUAUAUAUUAUUUCAUCCUCAGACGCUGACGUGGUAACAUGUACCUGAUUUAUAAAAAUUAUUUGUAUACACAUGUUAUACACGUGUAUAAUCAUGGAUCCCACGACUUUACAAGACUUGAAAAAAUUGACACGUGUGACAUCUUUACCUUUACCUUUUGACAAAAGUCUUCUUUCCCUCCAAAACCAAAGAAAACCCCUUUCUUCUUUCUUUUUUCUUCUUUGUUCUUCCAGUCGCGUUGAGUAGCCAUUGUUGAAUCGGAAAGCUUACUUGCGAUUCCUUCUGAGAAAAAUGUUAGAUCUUUACUAGUUGAAUACUAUUCUGAUGUUAGUGUUCGAUUAAAGUUUUAUUUUUUCUGCGUAUUCAAAUGUUAUUUUGGCUGGUGUGCUAUAGUUUGUAAUUUAUUUGAGUCAUUUAAUGUUUAUUAGGAUUAUUUUUUAUCAACUAAAUAUUAUAUUGAUAUUUUAUUUUAGUUUUGAUGAUAGUGUUAUUUUAAUGUUUAUUAUGAUUUUGUUGAACUGGGCAUUCAAAUGUCAUUUUGAUAUGUGUGUCGUAGUAUUAGGGGUUUUGUUUAUUAGUGUUUGAUUAAUAGUGUUCGAUUAGGGAUUUUGUUUCUUUUUCUUUUCUCCCUAGUGCACCUUCUACAUGUCCAUCGCCUGAUAAUAGUAACAAAGGAAGAGGAAGGGGUAGGAAAAACACAACCUCAUACAAAAGGCAAGCAGUGAUUCAAAUAGGUGUGUUUCAAGCUGAAGAUGGAUUCAAAGCUCUUAAUCCUGGGAUGUCAAGUUGUAAGAUCUUCUCUACUGGUUUAACAAAGGUGACAAAAUUUGUUGAUGUUACUGGUGAUAUUGGUUACAAACCAAGUACUGCACCCUAGUUGAAAUGGAAUGAAAAAGCAGCAAUCACAACAAGAAAACUUCAACAAAUGAGAAGGGAACAGAGAAAAUCAAGCGGAAGUAGUUCAACCAAUCCAAUCUAGGAAGUAAUGAUAUUGCAGUAUUGUUUUAAGUAGGCAAGAAAACAUUUCCCAUUUUGAAUGAUGAUGUACUAGUAUUGAACAUCAAAUUAUGUUUUUGUUUUGAGCUUUUAUUGUAAUUUGACAUUAUGUGUGGCCUGUUUUACAAUCGAUUAUGUCUAUUGAAGGUCGUUUCUCUUA